rnacentral:rRNA from 1 species
UGGGGAAUAUUGCACAAUGGGCGCAAGCCUGAUGCAGCCAUGCCGCGUGUAUGAAGAAGGCUUUCGGGUUGUAAAGUACUUUCAGCGGGGAGGAAGGGAGUAAAGUUAAUACCUUUGCUCAUUGACGUUACCCGCAGAAGAAGCACCGGCUAACUCCGUGCCAGCAGCCGCGGUAAUACGGAGGGUGCAAGCGUUAAUCGGAAUUACUGGGCGUAAAGCGCACGCAGGCGGUUUGUUAAGUCAGAUGUGAAAUCCCCGGGCUCAACCUGGGAACUGCAUCUGAUAAUGGCAAGCUUGAGUCUCGUAGAGGGGGGUAGAAUUCCAGGUGUAGCGGUGAAAUGCGUAGAGAUCUGGAGGAAUACCGGUGGCGAAGGCGGCCCCCAGGACGAAGACUGACGCUCAGGUGCGAAAACGUGGGGAGCAAACAGG